GAUGAACGCUGGCGGCGUGCCUAAUACAUGCAAGUCGAGCGAACGGACGAGAAGCUUGCUUCUCUGAUGUUAGCGGCGGACGGGUGAUUAACACGUGGAUAACCUACCUAUAAGACUGGGAUAACUUCGGGAAACCGGAGCUAAUACCGGAUAAUAUUUUGAACCGCAUGGUUCAAAAGUGAAAGACGGUCUUGCUGUCACUUAUAGAUGGAUCCGCACUGCAUUAGCUAGUUGGUAAGGUAACGGCUUACCAAGGCAACGAUGCAUAGCCGACCUGAGAGGGUGAUCGGCCACACUGGAACUGAGACACGGUCCAGACUCCUACGGGAGGCAGCAGUAGGGAAUCUUCCGCAAUGGGCGAAAGCCUGACGGAGCAACGCCGCGUGAGUGAUGAAGGUCUUCGGAUCGUAAAACUCUGUUAUUAGGGAAGAACAUAUGUGUAAGUAACUGUGCACAUCUUGACGGUACCUAAUCAGAAAGCCACGGCUAACUACGUG
rnacentral:rRNA from 1 species